GCCUGGCUGGCUCAGUUGGAAGAGGAUGUGAUUCUUGAUCUCAUGGUUAUGAGUUCAAGCCCCACGUUGGGCA
rnacentral:tRNA from 1 species